GAAGAAGAAGAAGAAGAAAAAAUAACUGAUAGAGCAUAUAAAUAGGAAAUUCUCAAAGAAAGAAUUCCAAAAUGUCAACAGACACGGGAAACUCUCUUCGCACAGUAGUGCAGCCGGCGUGUUCCGCUGGCGUCUUCCCCGCCCGGCACACGGCUCCGGUGUCCCCAUGCCCUCGGGGACGGAGCCAGGGCACGCUGCGCCUUUCUCCAGAUGUCCUCUUCGUGAGCCGCAGCCCCUGGGGGCAGACACGGUGCAAGCGUCCGGCAGAGAGAGGAAGGAGGGCCAGGACAGGACAACAGUCAGAACUGAGCUGCCCCAAGCCUGUCCAACACCCCAGUGGCUCACCUCUCCCUGGCCCUGGCAUGCAUUCGGCACAGCAAGAGGAGACAGCAACAGGGCUUCCGGAUCCUUCAGUCACG